rnacentral:rRNA from 1 species
AUUGAACGCUGGCGGCAGGCCUAACACAUGCAAGUCGAACGAGUGGCGGACGGGUGAGUACUGUCUGGGAAACUGCCUUAUGGAGGGGUCUCUCUUCUGGCAACUGUCGCUACUCACGCAAUCCAUCGGUUUUGCCCAUAUGGGUUUCUCUAGUAGGUGGGGUAACGGCUCACCAAGGCGACGAUCCCUAGCUGGUCUGAGAGGAUGACCAGCCACACUGGAACGGAGACACGGUCCAGACUCCUACGGGAGGCAGCAGUGGGGAAUAUUGCACAAUGGGCGCAAGCCUGAUGCAGCCAUGCCGCGUGUAUGAAGAAGGCCUUCGGGUUGUAAAGUACUUUCAGCGGGGAGGCGUUACCCGCAGAAGAAGCACCGGCUAACUCCGUGCCAGCCGCCGCGGUAAUAC